CCUACGGGUGGCUGCAGUGAGGAAUAUUGGUCAAUGGGCGCGAGCCUGAACCAGCCAAGUCGCGUGAAGGAUGACUGCCCUACGGGUUGUAAACUUCUUUUGUAAAGGAAUAAAGUGAGGCACGUGUGCCUGUUUGUAUGUACUUUAUGAAUAAGGAUCGGCUAACUCCGUGCCAGCAGCCGCGGUAAUACGGAGGAUCCGAGCGUUAUCCGGAUUUAUUGGGUAUAAAGGCAGCGUAGUCGGGAUGUUAAGUCUGUUGUGAAAUUCCGGGGCUCAACCCCGGAACUGCAUUUGAUACUGUGCGUCUUGAGUGCAGGAGAGGUAGGCGGAAUUCCUAGUGUAGCGGUGAAAUGCUUAGAUAUUAGGAGGAACACCAGUGGCGAAGGCGGCUUACUGGACUGUAACUGACGUUGAGGCUCGAAAGCGUGGGGAGCAAACAGGAUUAGAUACCCGUGUAGUC
rnacentral:rRNA from 1 species